rnacentral:rRNA from 1 species
ACGGUACAACGAGUCGCAAGCUCGCGAGAGUAAGCUAAUCUCUUAAAGCCGUUCUCAGUUCGGACUGUAGGCUGCAACUCGCCUACACGAAGUCGGAAUCGCUAGUAAUCGCGGAUCAGCAUGCCGCGGUGAAUACGUUCCCGGGCCUUGUACACACCGCCCGUCACACCAUGGGAGUUUGUAACGCCCAAAGUCGGUGGCCUAACUUUUAUGGAGGGAGCCGCCUAAGGCGGGACAGAUGACUGGGGUGAAGUCGUAACAAGGUACC